ACUCCUACGGGAGGCAGCAGUGGGGAAUAUUGCACAAUGGGCGCAAGCCUGAUGCAGACAUGCCGCGUGUAUGAAGAAGGCCUUCGGGUUGUAAAGUACUUUCAGCGGGGAGGAAGGCGAUAAGGUUAAUAACCUUGUCGAUUGACGUUACCCGCAGAAGAAGCACCGGCUAACUCCGUGCCAGCAGCCGCGGUAAUACGGAGGGUGCAAGCGUUAAUCGGAAUUACUGGGCGUAAAGCGCACGCAGGCGGUCUGUCAAGUCGGAUGUGAAAUCCCCGGGCUCAACCUGGGAACUGCAUUCGAAACUGGCAGGCUAGAGUCUUGUAGAGGGGGGUAGAAUUCCAGGUGUAGCGGUGAAAUGCGUAGAGAUCUGGAGGAAUACCGGUGGCGAAGGCGGCCCCCUGGACAAAGACUGACGCUCAGGUGCGAAAGCGUGGGGAGCAAACAGGAUUAGAUACCCGUGUAGUCCC
rnacentral:rRNA from 1 species